UUAAGUCGACCGCCUGGGGAGUACGGCCGCAAGGUUAAAACUCAAAUGAAUUGACGGGGGCCCGCACAAGCGGUGGAGCAUGUGGUUUAAUUCGAUGCAACGCGAAGAACCUUACCUGGUCUUGACAUCCACGGAAGUUUUCAGAGAUGAGAAUGUGCCUUCGGGAACCGUGAGACAGGUGCUGCAUGGCUGUCGUCAGCUCGUGUUGUGAAAUGUUGGGUUAAGUCCCGCAACGAGCGCAACCCUUAUCCUUUGUUGCCAGCGGUCCGGCCGGGAACUCAAAGGAGACUGCCAGUGAUAAACUGGAGGAAGGUGGGGAUGACGUCAAGUCAUCAUGGCCCUUACGACCAGGGCUACACACGUGCUACAAUGGCGCAUACAAAGAGA
rnacentral:rRNA from 1 species